CCGCUCUGGGCCUGGGUCUGCGGGUCGGCGCCGAAGUUCCUGCCCGCCGGCUCUGCCUGCCGCCCCUGCCGUAGAGGGAUCGGUGCUGCCCGGACGGGACGGCUGGCUCGGGGCUGGCUGACUGCCGUCCGCGACGCCGAGCCCCUACCAGGAGGCACCCCGAUGGUAGCAACCCGCCGCGGGCUGAGGCCCUAGAGGCCCUGCGGCCCUGCUGUUGGCGGGCGGAGAGCACUCGGGUGCUGGCGGAGUCUUCUCGGCAGGAGCCGGGCAGCUCCACCGCCUCAGCGGUCCCCGGCCAGGUUCGCCAAGUUCGAGCGGCCUGGCCUGCGGCUUCCGCCUCCUCCGGGAGCGCGCUGUGGCUGAACUCCUCUGCUCCAGCACAGGCCUUGGCACCUGUCAGGUCAUUGCCAGGGCUGCAGAGGCGACCUGACUGACAGCACCAGACAGUAGAGAAGUCUUGUAGACUGACUUGUAGAACAGAAAGUAUGUUACAAGAAAUCGUAAUGAACUUCGAAGCCUUAAAGUUCCAGGAUAUGUGACGUCUGUUCUUGAGGGAAAGGGAGAACUGCGAUUAAUUUUAAACAAAAUUUACAGUCCUCUUUUAGGUAUGUGAGAUUACUGCCUUCUCUUCUUAAAAAGCAAACAAACAAACCAGCAUGGAUGUAUGAUGCAUCCAGUGAUCAAAAUGAAACUAAGGAAAAAAUGACAAGUUGUCUAAUUAGAACCAGCCACGACACAUAUAUCCUCAAGCAACAUCUGUUCCCAGUUUCAUGGAGUAAAGUGGAAGUAUUAAAAACAAGCCAGAGACAUCUGGAUAAUCAUCUCGAAACAGGUUGGCUGUUAGGGAAAGUUGAAACCAGCAAGAAUUUGGCAGUGUUUCUUUAAAUUGUUAAGAAAAAAAAUAUCCAAGCUGUUUUCUGGCAUAACUAAAGCGGAAUAUUGUGAAUCAGGCAAGAACAACAAAAGAAAUGAACUCUUUAAAAAACAGCUAUUUUUAACAUUAUAGUAUUUAGGAUUCUAUGCAUACUGUACACUCGAUUAUUCUGGGAACUGCGAUAGGACAUUGCACUGUUAAAGUGAUAACUGGCACUAAUCCAACUUACAAACAUUACCUUCUAGAAUGUAAUGGCAUCUUGCUUGGGGAAAGCAUGGUAAUGAGAAAGAAUAAAAUUACAUGCA